rnacentral:rRNA from 1 species
UACGUAGGGGGCGAGCGUUGUCCGGAUUUAUUGGGCGUAAAGAGCGUGUAGGCGGCCAGGUAGGUCUGCUGUGAAAACUCGAGGCUCAACCUCGGGUCUGCAGUCGAUACGAGCAAACUAGAGUGUUGCAGGGGAGACUGGAAUUCCUGGUGUAGCGGUGAAAUGCGCAGAUAUCAGGAGGAACACCGGUGGCGAAGGCGGGUCUCUGGGCAACAACUGACGCUGAGGAGCGAAAGCGUGGGGAGCGAACAGG